GUCCUGGCAGUAAACGGUGCACACUUGGUGUGGGAGGAUUCGACCCCUCCCGUGCCGGAGCUAACGCGUUAAGUGUGCCGCCUGGGAAGUACGGUCGCAAGAUUAAAACUCAAAGAAAUUGACGGGGACCCGCACAAGCGGUGGAGUAUGUGGCUUAAUUCGAUGCAACGCGAAGAACCUUACCUGGUCUUGACAUGCAUCUUGUCGUCUGUGAAAGCAGGCUAGGGUAGCAAUACCCGAUUUGCACAGGUGCUGCAUGGCUGUCGU
rnacentral:rRNA from 1 species